rnacentral:rRNA from 1 species
GAUGAACGCUGGCGGCGUGCCUAAUACAUGCAAGUCGAGCGAACAGACGAGGAGCUUGCUCCUCUGACGUUAGCGGCGGACGGGUGAGUAACACGUGGAUAACCUACCUAUAAGACUGGGAUAACUUCGGGAAACCGGAGCUAAUACCGGAUAAUAUAUUGAACCGCAUGGUUCAAUAGUGAAAGACGGUUUUGCUGUCACUUAUAGAUGGAUCCGCGCCGCAUUAGCUAGUUGGUAAGGUUACGGCUUACCAAGGCGACGAUGCGUAGCCGACCUGAGAGGGUGAUCGGCCACACUGGAACUGAGACACGGUCCAGACUCCUACGGGUGGCAGCAGUAGGGAAUCUUCCGCAAUGAGCGAAAGCCUGACGGAGCAACGCCGCGUGAGUGAUGAAGGUCUUCGGAUCGUAGAACUCUGUUAUUAGGGAAGACCAAAUGUGUAAGUAACUAUGCACGUCUUGACGGUACCUAAUCAGAAAGCCACGGCUAACUACGUG